UCUCAGACUAGUGUUUUCUAUAUUGUGGUGCUGCAAAUGCGUGAGUGUCUGCUACUUUCACCUCCCCCCAGGAAGUGUGAAUACCAUUGCAGCAGGUCAGUGCUAACUCUGGUUACUGUGGUUUCUGCAAAUUUAGGCAGCGUGAUAUUCAGCUUUGCUAACAAGCACUCCAGCGGACUGACAAAAGGCUCAAACAGGCAACAAGGAGAUUUCAUUUCUCAGCACCACCCUGCGAGCUGGAACGCAUGGCUGGAAAACUGAUCAGGAGGAACGGAGACAGGCUUGCCCCGAUCAACAUCAAUGGGUCUGCAGUUGAGAGGGUGACUGAAGAAGUUUGACAUGAGCCCCCAAAUCCUCAAGACCUUUUACAGGGGCACCAUUGGGAACAUACUGACUGGCUGUAUCGCCGCCUGAUAUGGGAACUAGAACAACCUUGACCGCUGCGCACUGAAGAGUAGUGCAGACAGCCCAACACAUCUGUGGACAUGAACUUCCCUCCACUGAGGACAUUUACAGCAGCAGGUGCAUAAAGAAGGCUUGGAAGAUCAUGGUGGUCACCAGUCACCCCAACCAGAAACUGCUUCAGUUGCUUCCAUCUGGCAAAUGGUACUGCAGCAUCAAAGCCAGGACCAACAGGCUUAUUUCUACAAGACAUGAGACUUAUAAAUUCACAUGUCUGUACAUUGCAACGGAGUCAUAACACAAAGCUUUUUACUCCAUCACGUUGUGGGAUACAGUAGAUGUAAAAUUCCAAUUCAAUUCAAUUCAAAGCAUCAAAUGAUCCUCAUAUGUUAACCAUUUAAUUCCAGGGAUCAUUCUCACGAACCUCCUCUGGACCAUUUCCAAUGCCAGCACAUCCUUUCUAAGAUAAGGGGCCCAGAACAGCUUACAACACUCCAAGUGCAGACUGACAAAUGCUUAAUAAAGUCUUAUAUACAGUACUUUCUUUUGUAUUUUAGUCCUCUUGAACUGAAUGCUAACAUUGCAUUUGCCUU